GAGUGAAGCGGCAACAGCUCAAAUUUGAAAUCUGGCGCCUUCGGUGCCCGAGUUGUAAUUUGUAGAGGGUAGCUCGAGCCCGCCCCCGUCUAAGUCCCCUGGAACGGGGCGUCGUAGAGGGUGAGAAUCCCGUAUGCGACGGGGUGGCGUGCUCGUGUGAGCUCCCUUCGACGAGUCGAGUUGUUUGGGAAUGCAGCUCUAAAUGGGAGGUAAAUUCCUUCUAAAGCUAAAUACCGGCCAGAGACCGAUAGCGCACAAGUAGAGUGAUCGAAAGAUGAAAAGCACUUUGGAAAGAGAGUUAAAAAGCACGUGAAAUUGUUGAAAGGGAAGCGCUCACGACCAGACUCGGGUGCGGCUGCUCAGCCGGUCUUCUGACCGGUGCAUCGGUUGUACCCGGGCCAGCAUCGGUUCGGGCGGUCGGAUAAAGGCCUCGGGAACGUAGCUCCUCUCGGGGAGUGUUAUAGCCCGGGGCGCAAUGCGGCCUGCCCGGACCGAGGAACGCGUUCGCUAGGAUGCUGGCGUAAUGGUCGUUAGCGGCCCGUCUUGAAACACGGACCAAGGAGUCUACCAUCUGUGCGAGUAUUAGGGUGUCAAACCCUUGUGCGUAAUGAAAGUGAACGGAGGUGGGAACCCUUUGGGUGCACCAUCGACCGAUCCAGAUGUCCUCGGACGGAUUUGAGUAAGAGCACCGCUGGUGGGACCCGAAAGAUGGUGAACUAUGCGCGGAUAGGGUGAAGCCAGAGGAAACUCUGGUGGAGGCUCGCAGCGGUUCUGACGUGCAAA
rnacentral:rRNA from 1 species